UGUAAUCUCACAGUGCAUUGUAAAUUCUCUAAUAAAUAGAUUUAUAUGGAAGUGUCACUCCCCAAGUUCUAAAUAUACACCAAUAAACACCCUCGCGAUUCAAUGCUAAGGAUCGCCAUUUAAGUUGCUCGCAGUUGCAAGAUUUGUUUUGUAGUAGUAGUCGUUGCGGUUCGAUCGGGGGGCUGAUAAAGUACUGCCAAACUGUAUAUUUCAGACAAAAUCAAGUGCGAGAAGUGCCUCAAAUUCUACAAGAACAAGGAGUCGUUGAGAGUGCACCGGAAGCUCGACUGCGCGAACAAGUCGGCAUUCCCCUGCCCUGUCGAGGGGUGCCAGAAGACGUUCUCGAGAAAUUUCGGUGUUAAAUUGCAUGUACAAAAAUGUCACCACUAACCUGGGAGCCUGGGCGGAAACCGCGUCGACUCACGAAACCGAUUUUUCUAGAGCAAUGCCCGAGAUGUUCCAAGUUUUACAAGAACGUCGAGUCCCUCAAGUCCCAUCUCAGACAGGUGUGCCAAAAGGAAACAAGCGAGCGAUGCCACCUGUGCCCGAGAGCGUUCAAAAGACGAAGCAAGCUCAACCAGCACCUGGUGACUGUCCACAAAGUACUACCGACAACUUAAAUAUAUUUUCCUACCACGUGUACGUGUUGCAAAUAAAAUAUCGGUUCUGGUACGACCCGACUCAUUUCAUUUAGGUUGCCACGGCGUGGGCGUUCCGGCAUAGCGAUCGAUGCAGGUGCGGUAAUUCCAAUGUGCGACAGUACGCUUGAUUCCACUAUUAACCGGGGUGUUUGUAGUUGGCUCGAUGCGGUUUUUCUGUGACGCUUGUGGCAAGUCGUACACCAUAAAAAAUAAUCUGAGGAGGCACCAGAGGGUCGAGUGCGGUAAGGAGAAGAGUAUGGUGUGUCACAUCUGCGAGCACAGGUUCUACUACAAGCAGGAACUCGACACCCACUUUAGAAUCAAGCACAACAUCCUGUUCAAUCCUAACAGAUACCGAUAAAUCCAAUUCUUGUUAAGACUGACGUUGCUUGUUAGCGCUUAGACGCCAAAGAUUGUUCGCUCUCUCCCUCUCUGGUAACCGACUAACCAAACCUAACAAUAAAACCGUAGAGAAUCGAGCAAUUUCACUUAACUCCACCCUUCGCAUCUUGUUUUAUCGGCAACCGGCGGUACUCUUAACGGUUAAUUUCAGAGUACUUCGAGUGUCCGGACUGCGGGAAAUGGUACCGGCAUAAGAAGAACAUGGCUCGCCACCGGAAGUAUGCGUGCCAAACCAGAAUCAUCUUUUGUCCCACUUGUCUUAAGAGCUUCACCAGGAAGUCGACGCUGGACUACCACAAGUGCCCGAGAAAAUGACCGCCCUUCCCAUUCCCACACAAUGUGCCUGACUAUGAUAAAAAUAAAAUAUUUUUGCUAGCGUUUUGGUCUUAGUACUUCUAGGGCGUUCCGUCGCUUCAAAUGUGCUUAUGUCCUUUUUUUUAGGGGAAUUUCUGCCAAACUUUUGCGCUAACUGCGGCAAGGUGCGUGACAUCGGGCACCCAAAGCGCUCGCUUCAAAGGACCAAAUUUUUUUGUAGGUGUAUACGACCAAAGGGAAUCUCAGGCGCCACCUGACGUGGGAGUGCGGCAAAAAUCCCACCAGACGGUGCGCUCUGUGCACCUUCGAAGCCAAGCAUCUGUCCAGCCUCAAACGCCACCUAAAAAGGAAACACCAUGUCGAUGCGAAAUAAAAGAUUCACGGUAUAUGCGUUUUUUAGUAGCGCGGUACUCCACUUCACUAGUGAAAGAACCAAACGAUGCCAUGCACGACACUAUAGUGACCUCUUUCAGGACGGUUCCCGUGCCAACGAUGCGACAAAAUAUAUAAGUCGAGGACAGCUUUGGGCAGGCACGUACGGUACGAUUGCGGCAAAGAAAAAAGAUUCGCUUGUACCGUACCGGCCUGCGCUUACAAAGCAUUCCAGAAGGUCCACCUCGUAAGUCACAUGAUUAGCGUACACAAGGUGCUGCCCGGUGCACCCAAGUAGCGUGUUGGUACCCCGCAGGGAAAUGGCGCUCGUUUUUGCACCCCUUUUUAUCUAGGAAAUUUUAGUAGUACCCAGUAGUUAGUGUGUGAUCCGUUGUACCGUAGAUUCAGGUAGUCGUCGUGUCUCAUUCGCAUUGGGUACCGAUUAGCAAUAACUGGUCGGUUGUUUUAGUACCGGUGCCUGAGUACGACCUUUGGAAUAAGACGAGCGACGUCAAACCCAACCUCAUCAUGUCGAAGGAGGACAAGUUCAAGUGCAAGCACAAGCACUGCCGCUUUGUAACUGACAGGCGGGAGGUGCUGAUCAUGCACAUCCUCAACCAUGACGACGACGAGUGACGUCGUCGUGUUUUCUGUCUGUAGUACAUUGUACCGUGUGUGUUCGAUGUGUGUGUGCGUGUGUCAAUCGCAACAAUCAAACUGUGCAUGUUUUUUGCUAAAGCGAAUAUAUCUGUGUAGUCUGGUGGAACGGUUGUUUUAUUGCAUUUAUCGGGAGAAAGCGCACCAAACCGUCAUCUAUCUACGUCGGUAGUGCUAAUGAUACACUCCCUCCAUCCUCUGGGGGAGAUCCUGGGAUAUCACCAUUACAGAUUCCAGGGAUUUAGUCUUGCUACUUUAUGAAUGGCAGUACAGCAUACAGAUGACAGAUGGUAGCACAAAUGAAAUCACAGAUUCCUAACUAACCAGCACAACAUACAGAUUCCUAACCAAACUGACUCGCGGUCUUUAUUUUAGGCAAACCUUUCGUAUGUAAUAGGUGCUACAAGUCCUAUCGCCACGCCCCUUCGCUAUACACCCACCAGAAGUACGAGUGCGGCAAGAAACCAUUGUUCAAGUGCGAGUUUAUGGGUUGCCAGUAUGCCACCAAGCUCAAGGGAAACCUGAAAAAACACGUCGCGAGGACUAGGCACUGGUGAUGCCGCGACCGCUGUGCGUCUCUAUUUAUAACACUAAACUUUAACCCAUUUGUGGCUAACAACCCGCAUGCUUCUGUAUCUGCUAGGAGGCGGGUAGGGCGGUGCUAACCCGACCCCACCCAUUACCGCCACCUUUGCUCAAUUUCUUUAGGUGUUGAGGUCGGAGUAAAACUUAUUGGCGAGAUACGCAAACCUUUCCCUUCCCGUAGAAACAUUGAAGACGGUUUUGGUUUCAGAGCCGAAACCUUACGUGUGCGCAAACUGCGGCAAAGGGUACCUCCGUCACCACACAAUGACACGUCACCUCAAAUUCGAGUGCGGCAAAGAGAAAAGCUUCGCAUGCGGGCACUGCGACUACUCGACGCACCACAAAUACCACCUGAAAAACCACAUUUUCGCCAGACACGGCGUGAUCCGCUAAGACUACAGCGCCGUUUGUUUCAGAGGGAUUGUUUCCGUGCCCGAACUGCGCGAGGAUGUACAAACUCAAGUCGAAUUUGGGAAGACACCUGAGAUUGGAGUGCCAGAAGCCGAAAUCAUUCGCCUGCGACUACUGCGCAUACGCGGCCUACCAGAAGUCUAACCUACUGAUUCACAUCAAGCGGAAGCAUUUCGCCAAUCGUUUUCAAUAAAUUACGUUUGAGACUUUGAGUGUUUGUUUUUACCGUCACCUGCGAGAAGAGAGCUGUGACCACACUCUAACGGCGGGCGUUUGUCGUAGCCAUACACCAAUGCCCGAAAUGCACCAACGUGUACAAGAGGGAGGACAGUCUCAAGCGCCACCUACGCAUCGAGUGCCAAAAGGACGGAAGGUACGCUUGCGUGGGUUGCCGGAAGACCUUCAAGCACCGAUUCGUGUUCACCAGACACGAGAAAAUGUGUUUUUCCGGGACGAAUAAAGUGUAACUUUUAAAAUCCGCAGUUUGACUCGUUUCCGAACUCUUCCUCACGCACUGUCUCGCGUUUUCCUGAAACCGAAGGUCUGUUUCAGAUAUCAUGCGGUACUUCUGUCGGUGCGGCAAAAACUACAAGAAUCGGGAGAGCCUGUCCCGCCACAAGAGGGAGUGCGGGUCGGAGAAGAGUCUCGCGUGCCCCAACUGCGACUACAAGACACACCGCAGCGACACGCUCAGGCGUCACAUGGUCGUCCAUUUGUAAUAAAUUUCUUAACAGUACCUGAAACCCACGGAGAGGCAUACGACUUUGGCUGCGGCGGUACUUUUGUCAGUGCGGCAAAAACUACAAGAACCCUGAGAGCCUGUGUCGGCACAAGAAGGAGUGCGGCUCGGAAAAACGAUAUACGUGUCCCCACUGCAACUACAAGAGCCACCGAAAUGAUAAUCUCAAACGACACAUGAU